rnacentral:lncRNA from 10 species
UGAAACCCCAUCUUUACACAAAAUACAAAAAUUAGCCAGACAUGGUGGUAUCAGUCUGUAGUCCCAGCUACUCUGGAGGCUGAGCUGGGAGCAUGGCUUGUACUCAGGAGGCAGAGGUGGCGGUGAGCUGACAUCACACCACUGCACACCAGCCUGGGCGACAGAGUGAGAUCCUGGCCCAAAACAAAAAGGAGUCCCUAGGUAGCAAACUGCAACUUAACUUCAUAUGAAAACAAUCUACAACUGUAACAUAUUCUGUAACAAAUAACUGAGACUCAGUUAAUUAUAGCAGCUGGGCUUUAACCAGUCAUGGGAUGACAACUGAUCAGACCAUGUAUCUGUAUAAGGCAAGUGCUUCAUCACACCGUGGCUGAAUCAGGUAUUCCACAAGAAGAGAGUUCAAGUGGAAAGAGAAAAGUCAUGUUACAUAAGAUUGUCUCUAAUCAGUCAACCACUGGAGUCAGAUAAAAAUAGAAGAUGAAAAUCUGUCAGAUGAAAUUUCACUUUGGAAAUAUUGUUUGUGUUCUUCAAAUGUAUAAGAUUUGUGUUUCUAUCCACAAAUUGUGUAUACAGCAGCACAUUAAAAGAGGUUGAAAGUGCCCAAUGAAUUAAGUAAUAAAAGUGGUAUUUAAAGUGAACUUCAGUGGAAAUGAACCUGCAUAUGAUUGAAGAAAGGAAACGAUGAUGGUGAGGACAACAUGUGGUGACCCACAGGAACAUAAUCAUGUUAACUCCUGACUCUGCAAAAACUUAGCACGUGGCAUUGUUUUUAGCAUCUUCUAAGAAGCCGACAUUGAUUAAAUAGACAUUUGUUUGACUGCAUUAGAUUGCUUCUGGUUGGUUUGUUCUUUCUUCCACUAAAUUUACCAAAGAAUGUACUAGAGUAGUGUGAAAUUGGAAGUCUGGUAACUGAUCAGCAUCACCUCCACUGCUGCAUACACUAAUAACUUCAACUCAUAUUUGGUAGU